CACAGAUUAAGCCUAGUAUAAUGGAGAAAAACAACUCCUCCUCAUGCUACGGAGCAAUUACCAGGGUUUUUGUGUGUCGUUUUCAACGAACUGUCAAAUCGUGGGAGUCUGUGUAGAUGCUAUGCUAGGUGUUGAUUCUUCCCCCCAUUAAGCUUUGUUGUUUUCUCAGCCCUUGUGUCACACUCUGAGAGCUACUCAGAUAUAGUUGCGUUCCAAAAGCACCCUAUUCCCUACAUAGUGCACNNNNNNNNNNAUUAGAAAAGGGAAGCUGUAUAAAAAGAAUGAUAAAACAUCAGAGAAAUCCUGUUUUCCCCACUGUAACCAGGUAACAGAGGUUUCCUGGACCAUCACUGGUAAAGGCUCUGAGGUGAACGACAACCAGUGUCCCGGUGUUUGGGACACGUUUAACCCCUUCAACAUGGAAGCUGGGAACUCCAGUUGUUCCCGUGACAACGCUCUGAGUUGUGAGGUGGGAGACCUGACGACCAGACAGGGGACAGUCAGCCUGACACACAGACAGCUUUACACCGACACCAGCAUACAACUGGCUGGGGACUACACAGUGGUCCACAGGUCCCUGGUCCUGAGGAGAGGCAGCGAUGUCUUGACGUGUGCCGUCAUUCUUCCAGAAUCCCCCUGGGCAGAGCAGACCUUCCCCAACGUCAUGUCUUUCAGCAGAUAUGACUUCCGCAAUAGGGUGGCAGAGGUCCUAGAGGUGAACAUGUCCAGGGUCACCAUCCUUCCAGGGUCUCCUCUGGCCACAGUGGACGGACCGUGCCAGAAAGUCAGCUUCCUUGUCUCAGGUACAGCCAGUAAUAGAGUGCUGUAUGUGAAUGGGUACAGCACAGUGAUUCACAAUAUUCUCUGA
rnacentral:lncRNA from 13 species